GUGCCAGCCGCCGCGGUAAUACGGAAGGUCCGGGCGUUAUCCGGAUUUAUUGGGUUUAAAGGGAGCGUAGGCCGAAGGUUAAGCGUGUUGUGAAAUGUAGUCGCUCAACGGGUGCACUGCAGCGCGAACUGGCUUUCUUGAGUGCGCGGAAAGUUGGCGGAAUUCGUUGUGUAGCGGUGAAAUGCUUAGAUAUGACGAAGAACUCCGAUUGCGAAGGCAGCUGACUGUAGCGUAACUGACGCUGAUGCUCGAAAGCGUGGGUAUCGAACAGGAUUAGAUACCCUGGUAGUCCACGCGGUAAACGAUGGAUGCUCGCUGUUUGCCAUAUAUGGUAAGUGGCCAAGCGAAAGCAUUAAGCAUCCCACCUGGGGAGUACGCCGGCAACGGUGAAACUCAAAGGAAUUGACGG
rnacentral:rRNA from 1 species